rnacentral:rRNA from 1 species
GACGAACGCUGGCGGCGUGCCUAAUACAUGCAAGUAGAACGCUGAAGGAGGAGCUUGCUUCUCUGGAUGAGUUGCGAACGGGUGAGUAACGCGUAGGUAACCUGCCUGGUAGCGGGGGAUAACUAUUGGAAACGAUAGCUAAUACCGCAUAAUAGCAGUUGUUGCAUGACAACUGUUUGAAAGGUGCAAUUGCACCACUACCAGAUGGACCUGCGUUGUAUUAGCUAGUUGGUGGGGUAACGGCUCACCAAGGCGACGAUACAUAGCCGACCUGAGAGGGUGAUCGACCACACUGGGAAUGGGACACGGCCCAGACUCCUACGGGAGGCAGCAGGAGGGAAUCUUCGGAAAUGGACGGAAGGCUGACCGAGCAACGCCGCGUGAGUGAAGAAGGUUGUCGGAUCGGAAAGCUCUGUUGUAAGAGAAGAACGAGUGUGAGAGUGGAAAGUUCACACUGUGACGGUAGCUUACCAGAAAGGGACGGCUAACUACGUG